rnacentral:rRNA from 1 species
UACGUAGGGUGCAAGCGUUAAUCGGAAUUACUGGGCGUAAAGCGUGCGCAGGCGGUUCCGCAAGUCAGAUGUGAAAUCCCCGGGCUCAACCUGGGAACUGCAUUUGAAACUACGGGGCUAGAGUGUGUCAGAGGGGGGUGGAAUUCCACGUGUAGCAGUGAAAUGCGUAGAGAUGUGGAGGAACACCGGUGGCGAAGGCGGCCCUCUGGACGGUGACUGACGCUGAGACGCGAAAGCGUGGGGAGCAAACAGG